GGGUGCGUAACGCGUAUGCAACCUACCCAUAACAGGGGCAUAACACUGAGAAAUUGGUACUAAUUCCCCAUAACAUUCGAAGAGGCAUCUCUUUGGGUUGAAAACUCCGGUGGUUAUGGAUGGGCAUGCGUUGUAUUAGCUAGUUGGUGAGGUAACGGCUCACCAAGGCGACGAUACAUAGGGGGACUGAGAGGUUAACCCCCCACAUUGGUACUGAGACACGGACCAAACUCCUACGGGAGGCAGCAGUGAGGAAUAUUGGUCAAUGGACGCAAGUCUGAACCAGCCAUGCCGCGUGCAGGAUGACGGCUCUAUGAGUUGUAAACUGCUUUUGUACGAGGGUAAACUCACCUACGUGUAGGUGACUGAAAGUAUCGUACGAAUAAGGAUCGGCUAACUCCGUGCCAGCAGCCGCGGUAAUACGGAGGAUUCAAGCGUUAUCCGGAUUUAUUGGGUUUAAAGGGUGCGUAGGCGGUUAGAUAAGUUAGAGGUGAAAUCCCGGGGCUUAACUCCGAAAUUGCCUCUAAUACUGUUUGACUAGAGAGUAGUUGCGGUAGGCGGAAUGUAUGGUGUAGCGGUGAAAUGCUUAGAGAUCAUACAGAACACCGAUUGCGAAGGCAGCUUACCAAACUAUAUCUGACGUUGAGGCACGAAAGCGUGGGGAGCAAACAGGAUUAGAUACCCUGGUAGUCCACGCAGUAAACGAUGAUAACUCGCUGUCGGCGAUAC
rnacentral:rRNA from 1 species